rnacentral:misc_RNA from 1 species
UGGUUUAUUGAAACUGAAAAGCAAGGAUCGAGUUUUGAAGUUUCAGUUAGGACAUACUUUGUUUAGAUAAAAGUGAUUGGUACCAAAAAGAAAAAAACACAAUGAUCGGACGCCUCCCCGCGUGUGUAAUCGAUGUAGGUACAGGUUACACAAAACUGGGCUUUGCUGGCAAUAAAGAGCCUCAACUUAUGAUUCCAUCAGCAAUUGCUAUAAAAGAGACAGCAAAAGUUGGAGACAGUAAUGCCAGAAGGAUCACCAAAGGGGUUGAGGACUUGGAUGCUUAUAUUGGAGAUGAAGCUUUCGAAGCCACUGGGUAUUCUGUGAAAUACCCAGUUAGACAUGGGCUGGUAGAAGACUGGGAUUUAAUGGAAAAAUUCCUACAGCAAUGCAUUUUCAAGUACUUGAGAGCAGAACCCGAGGAUCAUUACUUUUUACUUACAGAACCGCCAUUAAACACUCCAGAGAAUAGAGAAUACACAGCAGAAAUAAUGUUUGAAUCUUUUAAUGUACCAGGUCUUUAUAUCGCGGUACAAGCAGUAUUAGCAUUAGCUGCAUCUUGGGCAGCAAAGGGUAUAGAGGAUAGAACAUUAACAGGAGUUGUUGUUGACAGUGGAGAUGGAGUAACACAUGUAAUUCCAGUUGCAGAAGGUUUUGUCAUUGGAAGCUGCAUAAAACAUAUUCCCAUUGCUGGACGGGAUAUUACUUACUUCAUACAAAGUUUAUUAAGAGAACGCGAAAUCGGAAUACCACCCGAGCAAUCACUAGAAACGGCCAAAGCAAUUAAAGAGAAACAUUGUUACAUAUGUCCUGAUAUUUCAAAAGAAUUUGCCAAAUAUGACAGCGAUCCUACUAAAAUAAAAAAGUAUGAAGGUAUCAACAAUAUCACCAAACAGCCUUUCAUCGUAGAUGUUGGCUACGAACGAUUUCUCGGACCAGAGAUAUUCUUUCACCCUGAAUUCUCUAAUCCAGACUUCACAACGCCGUUAAGCGAAAUCGUGGAUGAUGUGAUUCAGAAUUGUCCAAUAGACGUGAGAAGACCGUUGUACAGUAAUAUUGUUCUGUCUGGUGGUUCUACGAUGUUUAAAGACUUUGGUAGACGAUUACAACGUGAUAUAAAACGAAUCGUCGAUGCUCGCCUUAAACUUAGCGAAACGUUAAGUGGAAGUCAUAUUACGCCAAAGCCGAUAGAUGUUCACGUGAUAUCGCACCAUAAACAACGUUGCGCUGUAUGGUAUGGUGGUGCUUUACUGGCAAGCGAUCCUGAAUUUUAUACGGUUUGUCAUACCAAAAAGGCUUAUCAAGAGUAUGGUCCUGGAAUAUGUCGUUACAAUCCCGUAUUUCAUAGUAUGGUAUAAGAUGAAUAAAAAUGCAAUUGAUUCUAAAGAAACGACAUUACACAAGCCAACGGUUGAAAUUACACGUCGUUAACGAUAUGGGAACGCCCAGGCUUAUACUAGCAAACGCACACGAAAAUAUUUUUAUGCUCAUUCAUUACUACAUUAUUGUGUAAGAAGAGGUAUUUGCAUUUAAUAAAGA